rnacentral:rRNA from 1 species
AGCUCCAAUAGCGUAUAUUAAAGUUGUUGCAGUUAAAAAGCUCGUAGUUGGAUUUCUGGUGUCUUUUUUCUUCCUUUCUUGUUUACAAAUUGUAAAUGUUAGGUUUGAUUGGACAUCUUCUUUCCCUGUUAAUUUGGUUUUCGAACAUUAACUUGUUUGUGGAUCAAAUGGGGAUCAUUUACUGUGAAAAAAUUAGAGUGUUCAAAGCAAGUAUUUAUUUUUCUUGAAUACAUUAGCAUGGAAUAAUAAGAUAGGACUUUGGUUAUAUUUUGUUGGUUUGCAAACUAAGGUAAUGAUUAAUAGGAACAUAUUGGGGAUAUCUGUAUUUUUUAGUCAGAGGUGAAAUUCUUGGAUUUAAGAAAGACAAACUACAGCGAAAGCAUUUAUCAAGGAUGUUUUC